GAUGAACGCUGGCGGCGUGCCUAAUACAUGCAAGUCGAGCGAACAGAUGAGGAGCUUGCUCCUCUGACGUUAGCGGCGGACGGGUGAGUAACACGUGGAUAACCUACCUAUAAGACUGGGAUAACUUCGGGAAACCGGAGCUAAUACCGGAUAAUAUAUUGAACCGCAUGGUUCAAUAGUGAAAGACGGUCUUGCUGUCACUUAUAGAUGGAUCCGCGCCGCAUUAGCUAGUUGGUAAGGUAACGGCUUACCAAGGCAACGAUGCGUAGCCGACCUGAGAGGGUGAUCGGCCACACUGGAACUGAGACACGGUCCAGACUCCUACGGGAGGCAGCAGUAGGGAAUCUUCCGCAAUGGGCGAAAGCCUGACGGAGCAACGCCGCGUGAGUGAUGAAGGUCUUCGGAUCGUAAAACUCUGUUAUUAGGGAAGAACAAAUGUGUAAGUAACUAUGCACGUCUUGACGGUACCUAAUCAGAAAGCCACGGCUAACUACGUG
rnacentral:rRNA from 1 species